rnacentral:lncRNA from 1 species
UGUAAUCCCCUGUUAUGACUUCAAAUGGACUGAAUGGCUGGUCGGAUAACUAAGGAGACCACUUGAGUAAAUCAAAAGGUUUGACUUGUUUGAGAAAGAGAAUCAGUAUGCGCUGAUCCAUAGCAAAAUUUUCACAUGAUUGUUGUCAGUUUAUCAAGAUUAUUGCUAAGCUCUUAGAGACUGUUAGGCCCCACAAAUAAACAUGCUUUGGCUCCACUUGUUUUGAUUUCUAAAGUAUUUUAGUUGUAGUCGGUGCACUGGAAUAAAUCUCCAGCAACACCAAAGAGUCAAUUAGGAAUGACAGAUAGAUAGAUAGAUAGAUGGAUGGAAAAAUAGAUAGAUAGACUUUUAUAUAAUUUUAUAUAAUUUUAUAUAAUGAUAUGUUUUAUAGUUAUAUAUUUUAUAGUUAUUAAAAUAUAUAAAAGAAAACUCUAGUAGCCCUAACAUAAUUUGAUGUGCUGAGGAGGGAGUUCACCCCUUGGGUGGUAAGAAGUUGAAUGUGUCAAAAAGUCUGCACAUCUCAGCAUCUCAUCUCUCUCUCUCUCUCUCUCUCUCUCUCUCUCUCUCUACUCUCUCUCUCUCUUCUUCUGGACCCUGUUUACCUGCUGCUUGCCAAGUCUGAUGUCAGCCCACUGCGCCCAGGGUCCCUGGGCGAGUGUACAGUUUCUGUUUUGACACCCGUUCCUAAUUACACAUGUAAAUGAUUGAUCACCUGGACUUGGCGGGGGAGAGUAGAGAUGGAAGCCCUUGUUACGUGACGGCCCGGCGAUUAUGUCCAAGUCCAGGACCGUCUCUCUGCUGCUGGGUACAGUGGAAACGGAUACCUGCGAGGGCCCGAGAGCUGGGAGAUUAAGUUCUGAGCAUCCGCCAUUUGGACCAAAGACUUCCCCUAUUAGCGGUCCUCGAGGAGCAGUUGCGCAGCCUGGCACACAUUGUGCAGCUGCACUUCCCAUUGAUCUACUGGGCUGCCUGGAUGGCUGGCUGGAGGGAGAUAGAUUGGAGGGGAAACGGCUUAAUUGUCCUCACUCUCACUGCUGGAAUGCAAAUAGCCCACCACCACUGGCCUCCACUGUGAGGAAGCCCCACGUUGAGAAGGUAGCCAUCAAUCUUGGCGAGGAGCUGAUGGGAGGCUGCUCCCUCGCAGAUCGGGCUUGCUCAGACUGA